rnacentral:tRNA from 16 species
GCUGUGGCGAAACGGUUGCAGCGCCGAUUUUGCGACCAGUAGUCCCGGGUUCAAAUCCCGGUGGC